rnacentral:rRNA from 1 species
UUUCCUACGGGGGGCAGCAGUGGGGAAUAUUGGACAAUGGGCGCAAGCCUGAUCCAGCAAUGCCGCGUGAGUGAUGAAGGCCUUCGGGUCGUAAAGCUCUUUUACCAGGGAUGAUAAUGACAGUACCUGGAGAAUAAGCUCCGGCUAACUCCGUGCCAGCAGCCGCGGUAAUACGGAGGGAGCUAGCGUUGUUCGGAAUUACUGGGCGUAAAGCGCGCGUAGGCGGCUACUCAAGUCAGAGGUGAAAGCCCGGGGCUCAACCCCGGAACUGCCUUUGAAACUAGGUGGCUAGAAUCUUGGAGAGGUCAGUGGAAUUCCGAGUGUAGAGGUGAAAUUCGUAGAUAUUCGGAAGAACACCAGUGGCGAAGGCGACUGACUGGACAAGUAUUGACGCUGAGGUGCGAAAGCGUGGGGAGCAAACAGGAUUAGAUACCCCGGUAGUCC